rnacentral:rRNA from 1 species
UGCCAGCAUCCGCGGUACUACUAAUUGACCUAGCGUAGUUCGGAAUUACUGGGCUUAAAGAGUUCGUAGGUGGUUGAAAAAGUUGGUGGUGAAAUCCCAGAGCUUAACUCUGGAACUGCCAUCAAAACUUUUCAGCUAGAGUAUGAUAGAGGAAAGCAGAAUUUCUAGUGUAGAGGUGAAAUUCGUAGAUAUUAGAAAGAAUACCAAUUGCGAAGGCAGCUUUCUGGAUCAUUACUGACACUGAGGAACGAAAGCAGGGGUAGCGAAGAGGAUUAGAUA